rnacentral:tRNA from 1 species
CUGCACCUGGUGGACUCCUUCAGCCGCUCCUGGGGCUGGCACCCCCUGGCGGGGGCGGGCAAGGUGGUCUGGGCCCUGUUCGAGGCCGAGGAUCCGGCC